CAGUAGCCGCGGGAAUACGUAGGGUGCGAGCGUUAAUCGGAAUUACUGGGCGUAAAGCGUGCGCAGGCGGUUGUGUAAGACAGGUGUGAAAUCCCCGGGCUUAACCUGGGAACUGCGCUUGUGACUGCACAGCUAGAGUGUGGCAGAGGGGGGUGGAAUUCCACGUGUAGCAGUGAAAUGCGUAGAGAUGUGGAGGAACACCGAUGGCGAAGGCAGCCCCCUGGGCCAAUACUGACGCUCAAGCACGAAAGCGUGGGGAGCAAACAGGAUUAGAUACCCCGGUAGUCCCUGUCUCUUAUAC
rnacentral:rRNA from 1 species